CCUACGGGGGGCAGCAGUCGAGAAUCAUUCACAAUAGGGGAAACCCUGAUGGUGCGACGCCGCGUGGGGGAAUGAAGGUCUUCGGAUUGUAAACCCCUGUCAUGUGGGAGCAAAUUAAAAAGAUAGUACCACAAGAGGAAGAGCCGGCUAACUCUGUGCCAGCAGCCGCGGUCAUACAGAGGUCUCAAGCGUUGUUCGGAAUCACUGGGCGUAAAGCGUGCGUAGGCUGUUUCGUAAGUCGUGUGUGAAAGGCGCGGGCUCAACCCGCGGACGGCACAUGAUACUGCGAGACUAGAGUAAUGGAGGGGGAACCGGAAUUCGCGGUGUAGCAGUGAAAUGCGUAGAUAUCGAGAGGAACACUCGUGGCGAAGGCGGGUUCCUGGACAUUAACUGACGCUGAGGCACGAAGGCCAGGGGAGCGAAAGGGAUUAGAUACCCGUGUAGUC
rnacentral:rRNA from 1 species